ACGGGAGGCAGCAGUGGGGAAUAUUGCACAAUGGGGGAAACCCUGAUGCAGCGACGCCGCGUGAGUGAAGAAGUAUUUCGGUAUGUAAAGCUCUAUCAGCAGGAAAGAAAAUGACGGUACCUGACUAAGAAGCCCCGGCUAACUACGUGCCAGCAGCCGCGGUAAUAAGUAGGGGGCAAGCGUUAUCCGGAUUUACUGGGUGUAAAGGGAGCGUAGACGGUAAGGCAAGUCUGAAGUGAAAUGCCAGGGCUCAACCCUGGAACUGCUUUGGAAACUGUCCUACUAGAGUGCAGGAGAGGUAAGUGGAAUUCCUAGUGUAGCGGUGAAAUGCGUAGAUAUUAGGAGGAACACCAGUGGCGAAGGCGGCUUACUGGACUGUAACUGACGUUGAGGCUCGAAAGCGUGGGGAGCAAACAGGAUUAGAUACCCUGGUA
rnacentral:rRNA from 1 species